rnacentral:misc_RNA from 1 species
AACGCAUAUUGCGCCUUUUGGUAUUCCGAAAGGCAUGCUUGUUUGAGUAUCAUUAAAAUCCCUCAGCAACAACAGUGCUUUGACUCCUCUCCUUACCCUUGCCAUUUUUGGCUCGAGUUGGUCUGGUUAGCAUUGAAAACUGCUGGAAUUGAGCAUGUUCCCUUUCCAAAUAUGGACAUUGGGAUGCUUGAAAUUCAGGAUUCGGCCCAAAGACGGUUUGUGCCUACAAAGCAAAUUCAUACUUGAUCCCGUCAAACGGAUUAUAUCCUUUUGCUAUGGAGGUUUCGUCAAGUUGGUGUUCGACUGAUGCAGAGAUGUGGGUGUUGUUAAAGACACACACAACAAUUCUCGAUCUCAAAUCAAGUAAGACUACCCGCUGAACUUAA